AUUGGAGUCUGCAACUCGACUCCAUGAAGUCGGAAUCGCUAGUAAUCGUGGAUCAGAAUGCCACGGUGAAUACGUUCCCGGGCCUUGUACACACCGCCCGUCACACCAUGGGAGUGGGCUGCAAAAGAAGUAGGUAGUUUAACCUUCGGGGGGACGCUUACCACUUUGUGGUUCAUGACUGGGGUGAAGUCGUAACAAGGUAGCGCUAGGGGAACCUGGCGCUGGAUCACCUCCUUAAACGAUGAU
rnacentral:rRNA from 1 species